GGCAGGCGGGCGGAGAGACGCAGGGAUCUGGUGUGCCACAUCGGGAUGAGAGCGAGGCUGAGAUCCGGGUCGAGUGAGUCAGCGAGUGGACCUUGCAAUCACGGCAUCCUUAAAAACUGACUGAUUCUGGACGGAGACGAGCGGCACAAUAUAUAAACUACCGAACAUUUUUUUUUUUUAUUGUUGUUGUCAUUUUUCGCUUGUCUUUAUUAUUCCGCCCUCCCUCGGUCUGCGCCUGCCAUAGCCUUAGUUCUGAUUUUCAUUUCCACCAAGGUGGGUGAAGCGGGGGGGUCCGGUGAGGUAGCGGUGUAGGAGGAGGUGGAGGGUUUAUUAAUUUUUUGCUGUUGUUGUUGUUUUCGUACGAGCUCAUAUCUGAAGGCAAACCCAGACGAGCCUCAUAAUUUGACAGCCUUUUGUUGCACUGACUGGAAGCGAAGAUGUCGGGGCAGAGCAUUACGGACAGGAUAACUGCAGCCCAGCACAGUGUAACGGGAUCCGCCGUGUCGAAAACAGUAUGCAAGGCCACCACGCACGAAAUAAUGGGCCCGAAAAAGAAACAUCUGGAUUAUUUGAUUCACUGCACCAACGAGAUGAACGUGAACAUUCCCCAACUGGCUGACUCGCUGUUUGAGAGGACCACCAACACCAGCUGGGUGGUUGUGUUUAAGUCCCUCAUCACUACACACCACCUCAUGGUCUACGGCAAUGAGCGUUUUGUCCAGUAUUUGGCUUCAAGGAAUACACUUUUCAACCUCAGUAACUUCUUGGACAAAAGUGGACUACAAGGCUAUGACAUGUCUACGUUCAUCAGGAGGUAUAGUCGAUACCUGAAUGAGAAAGCAGUAUCAUACAGACAGGUUGCCUUUGACUUCACAAAAGUGAAACGCGGAGUGGACGGCGUAAUGAGGACCAUGAAUACAGAGAAGCUGCUGAAGACUAUCCCCAUUAUUCAGAACCAGAUGGACGCCCUUCUCGAUUUCAAUGUCAAUGCCAACGAGCUGACUAAUGGAGUCAUCAAUGCAGCCUUCAUGCUGCUCUUCAAAGACUCCAUCCGGCUCUUUGCUGCUUAUAAUGAAGGCAUUAUCAACCUGCUCGAGAAAUACUUUGACAUGAAGAAGACUCAGUGCAAAGAAGGUCUGGACAUCUACAAGAAGUUCCUCACUCGAAUGACCCGGAUAUCAGAAUUCCUGAAAGUAGCAGAGCAGGUGGGAAUCGAUCGAGGAGACAUUCCAGACCUUUCACAGGCUCCUAGUAGCCUUCUCGAAGCUCUAGAGCAACACUUGGCCUCUUUAGAGGGCAAAAAGGUCAAAGAUUCCACUGCAGCCAGCAGGGCCAGCACUCUGUCCAAUGCUGUGUCAUCACUGGCCAGCACAGGGAUGUCUUUCACUAAAGUCGAUGAGCGAGAGAAGCAGGCAGCUCUCGAGGAGGAACAGGCUCGACUCAAAGCUCUCAAGGAACAAAGGCUUAAAGAGCUCUCCAAGAGGCCUUCAUUUGCCACGACUGAUACAUCACCAAUCUCCACCACUGGGGGCACUAUCAGCACAGCACCAGCCAUUGAUCUCUUCUCUACACCCAGCUGCUCCAAUGGUGCAGUGAAGAUGGAGAGCGACCUUUUUGACCUGCAGCCUACUUUCCAGCCCUCCAUGCAAUCAGGCACCACAGGGCUUCCAGCAGCGACAGCAUGGGCAGAUCCUUUCACGUCUACUGAAGCUGGAGAUGAUUCCAUGCCAAACCUUAACCCUUUCCUCUCAAAACUCGUUGUCGAUGCCACUCACUUACCUGUCGUGUCUUCAGACGGUGUUAGCUUUUCCUCUAGGACAUCUGGUCAUGAAGUGUUUGGUGAUCGUUACAAUCCCUUUAUUGACACAAACUCAUCCGUUUCAACCAAUUACAAACGCACAGUGCGGAUAGAGCACUCCAUCUCAGACUCCUUCUGUGGUCCAGUGUCCAUUGCCCAGCACCUCCCACAUCAGGCUCCCUUCCCCACUGAGCCCUCUUCUGUAGCAGGUCUAUUCAGAGGAUACUCAACACCACAGGCCCCUCCACAGCCAACAGCAGGGGGACUGCAAGUGGACUUUGAGUCCGUUUUUGGAGCCAAAGCCGCAGGCAGCAGUAGCCUCAAUUCUGAUGAUAUUACUGGGGGCAUCCUGAAACCGACUCUUGCCGGCUCUAACCAGCCGUCCAAUCAGCAGCCAGAGAAGUUGGUGUCAGAUGACCUUGACUCCUCCCUGGCCAACCUUGUGGGCAACCUCGGCAUUGGAAAUGGCACGAUGAAGAAUGAUAUCCACUGGAGCCAGCCAGGGGAGAAGAGGAUGACCGGCGGCACCAACUGGCAGCCCAAGGCGGCGCCAACUACGACCUGGAACCCUGUCUCCAUGCCUCCGUCGAUCAUGGCCUUCCCUGCCACCACACCCACAGGCAUGAUGGGAUAUGGCAUGCCUCAACAAAUGGGCUCUAUGGGGAUGAUGAAUCCGCCCACCAUGAUGUACUCCCAGCCGGUCAUGAGGCCACCCAACCCCUUUAGCUCUGUGUCUAGUGCUCAGCUUCUCCAGACUAAUCUCAUCCCUCCUUCAGUCUCUGUACUGACUCUGACUUCUCCUCUGGUCCUCCUACCUCCUGUAUUUCUCCCUGAAAUAGCCCUCUGCAGCCUCUAGUCCUUCCAGCCAGAGUCCUCUCCGAGCCCCUGGACAGGACCCGUUUGCACACCUCUCUCUCAAGGAUUUCUUGUAGAGCAUCUCUUUAGAUGCAGUUCAUGUAAUUUGAAGGAAGUGUCUCUUGGAAGAUGAAAGCACCCAAGCAGCAAAACUUUGUCCUCGUUGCAGUCUUCAGAGAAACAUUCACACAACGGUGCAGCGACUGUCAGAAACCAUGCUAACAAUGUCCAGAUGACGUUUGGCGAUAGCUCACACCCAUUAUUCUAUAACUUGUCCGAGACGUCGAGUGAUGCUGCUGUCUAACCCACCCACCCCUUAAGAGGACUCCUUAUCUGUUUUACAGUGUAAUCUGUAAAGAUAGUUUUGGGUGCUGAGAAACUUAAAUGUUGAUGUAUUUGGACAUGCUGUGGUUGGAUGUAAAGGGUUGAUGUUCAGAGGGGAGGGAGUGGAAGGGAAAGUAGAGCAGUCCUUCCCUUUCUUGAUCCAGUCAUCAGUCAUCUAUUCCCUACGGUUAUUUAACUGUCACUAAGUAGUGAUGCUAAUGACGUUUACACCUGUUUAGUUUUUGUCUUUUUUACCGUGUUUACAGUAGACAUUCCUUGUGUGUUGUUUGUAUUUAUUUAUGAUUAUUGGUUUAAGAUUGGGGGAAAAAAAUAAUAAUAAUGUAAAAACUACAGAACACGUGGGAGUGCUUCAGCAUUAAACAAGGAUCUCAGACUAUCAUUAAGAGAUAGAGUUAAAAAAAAAAUAAUAGCUAUUAUAUAAAUGACACCUAUUAAGCGGAAUGAUAGAGCACUAAAUAUUCUUUUUGUGUUAAGAAAUUUUCUACUAGGUGAAGGACUUCACAGUCCCCAUUGUAAUUAAAAUGCAGGGGUUAGAGUACAAGUCAGUUAACAGUAUAUAGUUGAUUCUGUGCCUAGGGUUUUACUUUGCAAUGGAUCCGUUUUUCUGACUAGUUGGAAAAAAACAAACAAAAAAACAAAAAAAUAACACACUUCAUCCAUGAAUCUGAGGCGUCGCACUGGGUGGUGGGCUCCAUUUGCUUUAAGCUUGGCAUGCCAUUGACUCACUGACUGUAAUCAAGGCUGCCUUUACUCUGAAUGUGAACGAGUUGUCUUCAUGUUGCACACAUCUUUCCACACUGCAGUUCCUCAGUGAGAGGGGCGGGGGUGGGAGGGCGGAUGGCGCGUCCAGUGGAGGGGAAAAGAGUCGCAGAUUAGUUGUAAAUUAAUUGUAUAAAAGAUCCCGAGGGCAGGGUGGCAGAGGAGACGCACUGUUGAUCGGUGCUCUGUGUAUAUAAAACCUGACUGUUCUUUGAACGCAAACGUUGAAAGAUGUAUGAAAUAUGAAAGCAAUUCAAUCAAAUUUGACUCUACCUAAGUUUGAUUCAGGAUAUUCUCUGCGUUUGUCUCCGCAGAUGUUUUCUUUAUGUAAUUAGAACGUGUAGCAGACAAUGACUGAAGUCUUUUCUUUUCUUUUUCAAAUAAAGAGCAGCUUCCACAAA